GACGAACGCUGGCGGCGUGCCUAACACAUGCAAGUCGAACGGAGAUACGAUUUCGGUUGUAUCUUAGUGGCGAACGGGUGAGUAACGCGUGAGCAACCUGACCUUCAGAGGGGGAUAACAUUUGGAAACAGAUGCUAAUACCGCAUAAGACCACGACCCGACAUCGGGAUGAGGUCAAAGGAGCAAUCCGCUGAAGGAGGGGCUCGCGUCCCAUUAGAUAGAUGGCGGGGUAACGGCCCACUAUGUCGACGAUGGGUAGCCGAGCUGAGAGGCUGAUCGGCCACACUGGAACUGAGACACGGUCCAGACUCCUACGGGAGGCAGCAGUGGGGAAUAUUGGGCAAUGGGCGCAAGCCUGACCCAGCAACGCCGCGUGAGGGAAGAAGGCUUUCGGGUUGUAAACCUCUGUCCUUGGUGACGAAACAAAUGACGGUAGCCAAGGAGGAAGCCCCGGCUAACUACGUGCCAGCCGCCGCCGUAA
rnacentral:rRNA from 1 species